rnacentral:rRNA from 1 species
UACGUAGGUGGCAAGCGUUGUCCGGAUUUAUUGGGUUUAAAGGGUGCGUAGGCGGCUUUGUAAGUCAGCGGUGAAAUACUCUAGCUUAACUAGAGGGGUGCCAUUGAUACUGCGGAGCUUGAGUACAGAUGAGGUAGGCGGAAUUGACGGUGUAGCGGUGAAAAUGCAUAGAUAUCGUCAAGAACACCGAUAGCGAAGGCAGCUUACUGGGCUGUAACUGACGCUGAUGCACGAAAGUGUGGGGAUCAAACAGG